UGGAGGUUCUAGAGAAAGACCACGCCUCCUCCUGCAGUAUUUUGUCAUGGCAGCCCUAGCAAACUACUACAGGGACUGUGGGGGUUAGGAUGACACCAAGCAUCAAAUGCCACUCCCUGUUCCAACACUGAGACCAUUCCACAGCCCCUGAAUGACAAGACAGGCCUUCAAGCUCAAGACUACUUGGCUAGCUGGAUGCUUCCUGCCCUCGAAAAUCAGACUCCAAGUUCUUCAACUCUGGGACUCGGACCUUUGAACACAGACUGAAGGCUGCACUGUCGGCUUCCUUACUUUUGAGGCUUUGGGACUUGGACUGACUUCCUGGAUCCUCAGCUUGCAGAUGGCCUAUUGUGGGACCUCACCUUGUGAUCACGUGAGUCAGUGCUCCUUAACAAACUCCCCUUUGUAUAUACAUCUAUCCUACUACUUCUGUCACUCUAGAGAACCUUGACGAAUACGGUUAUGCAUUUUUAUUAAUGUAAAUUAUGCCUUAAUUAACAAUAAAUACCUUCUCAACCUCCAAAAAGAGACUUUCUGUCUGAAACUUGAGAAUAAGUCUAAAGUUUUCAUUUAAUAAUGAAUUUGUAAAAGACAGGAAAAUUGAUUUUGGCAUUAAUUUGUUCAACAAAUAUCUGUUGAGCAUGUCCUAUGUGGCAGAGGCUGAGUGUGGGGUGUGGAGUGGGUGAAUGUAAGGAACAUAUAGUUCCUGGCUCCCUAGAGCUUAUUAUGGUCUAGGGGUUGGAGAGAAUUGGUACAUUGGGAUUUUAAAGGGGGUGCCAAAAGUGGUGAUGACAAAGUUCAGGGAAGAACAACUGGAGUGGAGGGAGGGCAUC
rnacentral:lncRNA from 10 species